rnacentral:rRNA from 1 species
UACGUAGGGUGCAAGCGUUAAUCGGAAUUACUGGGCGUAAAGCGUGCGCAGGCGGUUUUUUAAGUCUGACGUGAAAUCCCCGGGCUUAACCUGGGAAUUGCGUUGGAGACUGCAAGGCUGGAAUCUGGCAGAGGGGGGUAGAAUUCCACGUGUAGCAGUGAAAUGCGUAGAGAUGUGGAGGAACACCGAUGGCGAAGGCAGCCCCCUGGGUCAAGAUUGACGCUCAUGCACGAAAGCGUGGGGAGCAAACAGG